AUUGAACGCUGGCGGAAUGCUUUACACAUGCAAGUCGAACGGCAGCACGGACUUCGGUCUGGUGGCGAGUGGCGAACGGGUGAGUAAUGUAUCGGAACGUGCCCAGUCGUGGGGGAUAACGUAGUGAAAAUUACGCUAAUACCGCAUACGAUCCAUGGAUGAAAGCGGGGGAUCGCAAGACCACGCGCGAUUGGAGCGGCCGAUAGCAGAUUAGGUAGUUGGUAGGGUAAAGGCCCACCAAGCCAACGAUCUGUAGCUGGUCUGAGAGGACGACCAGCCACACUGGAACUGAGACACGGUCCAGACUCCUACGGGAGGCAGCAGUGGGGAAUUUUGGACAAUGGGCGAAAGCCUGAUCCAGCCAUUCCGCGUGCAGGAUGAAGGCCCCCGGGUUGUAAACUGCUUUUGUACAGAACGAAAAGGUUUCUACUAAUACUAGGAGCUCAUGACGGUACUGUAAGAAUAAGCACCGGCUAACUACGUGCCAGCCGCCGCGGUAA
rnacentral:rRNA from 1 species